ensembl:piRNA 21ur-3070 ncRNA
UAUUUUGAAGAUACAAGUUCA